AGUGAAGCGGGAUGAGCUCAAAUUUGAAAUCUGGCUGGUUUACUAGUCCGAGUUGUAAUUUAAAGAAGCGUUUUCGGUGGCAGCCUGGGUAUAAAUCCUUUGGAAUAGGGUAUCAUAGAGGGUGAGAAUCCCGUCUUUGACCUAGUGCAUGCUACUAUGUGAUACGUUUUCAAAGAGUCGAGUUGUUUGGGAAUGCAGCUCAAAAUGGGUGGUAAAUUUCAUCUAAAGCUAAAUAUUGGCGAGAGACCGAUAGCGAACAAGUACCGUGAGGGAAAGAUGAAAAGAACUUUGAAAAGAGAGUUAAACAGUGCGUGAAAUUGUUGAAAGGGAAACGUUUGACACCAGUCAUGUGGGUGGAAAAUCAGUCUUUUGCAUUGGGGAGUUGUAAAGGUUCGGACCGCAAGGCCGGCUUUUGCUUCAUCUUUGGUGUAAGGGAUGCACUUUUUCAUCUACAGGUCAACAUCAGUUUCUUUUGCUGGACAAAACUCCGAGAGAAGGUAGCAGCUUAGGCUGUGUUAUAGCUCUGGAGCGAUACAGUGAAGGGGACUGAGGUUUUCGCAGCGUGUGCUCUCGGGCAAGGCUGGAUGGGUGCUAUGGGAUCGUUCGGGGUACAAUGCCUGGCAUUUUGCUUCGUGUCUUUUCUAUACUCGCUCAACUCAGCUCUUCCACGCUUAGGAUGUUGACUUAAUGGUUUUAAACGACCCGUCUUGAAACACGGACCAAGGAGUCUAACAUAUAUGCAAGUGUUUGGGUGGCAAACCCAUGCGCGUAAUGAAAGUGAACGUAGGUGCGAUCCGCAAGGUGCAGCAUCGACCGAUCUUGAUAUUUUUGGAUAGAUUUGAGUAAGAGCAUAUAUGCUGGGACCCGAAAGAUGGUGAACUAUGCCUGAAUAGGGUGAAGCCAGAGGAAACUCUGGUGGAGGCUCGUAGCGAUUCUGACGUGCAAAUCGAUCGUCAAAUUUGGGUAUAGGGGCGAAAGACUAAUCGAACCCAUCUAGUAGCUGGUUUCCUGCCGA
rnacentral:rRNA from 2 species